UGUGUGCCCUGUUCCUCAGGAAGGGGUAAGCAGUGCUGGGGUUAUUUGCUAGAUGGAGUGCGCUUGUGUUUCUUGGCUUCCUGAAAGCUGUGUCUGUCUUUUUCACUGCCGGCUGGAGAGACUCGGGGGAGAAAGCGUUGUGCUUGAUGGCACGGUUUCCUUGGGCAAAGGAUUUGGCAGCAGAGGUUUGCUGUCAGGAGGCAUGAAAGCACUGAAGCCAAUGCUGCCGUGCCCUGGGCCCAGAGACAUCAGCUCCCAGCACGUCCCUGGCGGUGGAUGUGUGCAAGCUCUGUGUCUGCCAGUGGUUGCUCCAAAGGCUUUGUGGUCAGCUGUGCGUGGCUGUUUUGCUCUUGAGGGCGUGGGAACAGAGGGCAACACGCUGAUGGGAGUGAUGGUGUCCUGCUCAGCAAAGGAUGUGCUGGGUGGCAGAAGAGGAUUCUUGGCCGAGCGUGGAAAAUCUCUCUGCUCCUUCCUGAAGGACGCAAUCUUCCACUUGAAAAGGGCCUCCCAAGGAUCCCUGGUAUCCUCUGAGAGCUCUGAGCUGCCGCACCAAUUUGAAGCUGACUUCAUUUUUGGUCUUCCCCUUCAGCAGAAAAGCUCAGACAGCCGAGCCAAGCGAGACGCUGGAUUUCCUUUGGCAUCAAGGAAAGCAUCGUGAGAUGUUCUGAUGCCCUCUCACAAUUCUUUCUCCCUCCGCCAGCACCAGAGCUGGCGUCCAAAGACGCAAUGACACUGCCACAGGCAUUGUGGAGAUUUCUAUGGGAUAGGGCCAUGGUAAGGCUUUAUUGACAGAGGGAGGGACAAUGAAGAUUGGAUGUCAGGGAGAAGGUCUUUCCAGAGACGGUGGUGAGAUGCUGGAAGCGGAUGCCCAGAGAGCUUGUGGACGCCGCGUCCGUGGCAGUGUUGAAGGCCAGGUUGGAUUGGGCACUCGGCAGCCUAGUCUAGGAUUAGAUAUGAUGCAGAUGGGAUUCAAGCAUCUGUUUUGCAGCCAGCUCGAGUGGAGCUCUUGGAGCUCAUGGGCGCCCCAUGCCCGCAUCAGCGUGGGUAGUGUGUGCCCUUCCUGCGCGGUGGGGCUUUGCUGUUUGGAGGCUGACGCUGAGGAGACUGUGUUUCUUCGUUUAUCGGUGGCAGAAAUCCAGCUCUGUCAGCAGAGGACUCCUGCGGCUGGCUGGCCUCAGCCUGAGAUGUUGAUGCUUCCAUCUCCUCAGGUUCUUUCUGCCUGCUCUUCUUAGCCCUGCGCCUCAGAAGUCUGACUGAGUCGCAUGCCAGAAGUGGAAGCCGGGAUGGAGUGCCUUGCGAUGCCUGCGACGGGCUGGACUGAGCCCUUGAGGAAGGUCUGGAAUCGUUGCUGAAAGAUUCGUUGGCUUUGGGCAACUUCAGCACCGCAGCCACACGAUGGGCUUUUUCCGCUUCCCGUUCUUCCUCACGGAAGCUCACGUGUUUGGUUCCCGGGGCUCGGCCCAGGUCUUCUUGGCUGUCUGUUUCUGCCUGGCCCUGCAGCUGGCAGGUCAGCGGCUGCUUUUGGUCUUCAGGCACUCCAGGGAUGGCUGGCAGCAGACUGAAAGGACAGAGCAGGAGGGGUCCGCCUGAGUGGGUGAUGGCUUUGGGGCCGCGUCCUGCAAGCCGGAGCCAGGACCCUUGGCUGCAACGCAGCCUUCCCCACAGACAGCUCAGCGGCUGCCCCGUGGCUCUCCCCCGUGGGAUCCAGAGAGGGGCCAGCCCUGUGAGCUGGGGGGCUCCUGGCGUCCCCAUCCCAGCACUGUUGGGCAGCCAGAAACAGGGACCCUUUGGGGCUAGGGAAUGGGCUCUCGUUGGCUCAGUCAAUCACCCCCAUGCACAUGCCAAGCCAGAGCCUCCAGCCUCACCUGGACGUAGAGCUCUCCUUGCGCAGUAAGCUCCUUAUCCUUCGGAGUUUUCCUCCAUCUAGACUGUCCGAGCUCAAGCGUUUGAUGAAGGUUGGCUUGCCAGCAAAUCUCACUGGGAUUGGGAAGGCAGAGGAGACUUACCGUCAACCCUUUGGCUCACUCACCAGGGGCGCUCAGGCCUGUUCCCAGAACAUGCGAGAGGGCCGCUCUGCUCCCCCCACUGCUGACAUCUGUGCCGCCCGCGGACCCUCCCUGAAACCAUCUCUGGCCCCACUUCUCCUCUCUGCCAUCUUGGGACUCUCUUUGGGAGUGCAUUAGUGACGGUGGCUUUGGGAAAGCGGAGCUGGGUGGUGACGAUGAGCUGACAGGGUGACUUUUGGGGACCAUAUCCUUUUGUUGGGGGAGGGCGGGGCCUAAGGUGCCGAGGUGCUCCUGCCAUAGCCAGGGAUGGGGGCACGUCACAGCCAGCGCCUUGGUUUUGGAGAGGCCAACAAUUCCUCGUGGGAAGAGGCCGUGCUGAGCUGGCGUGAAGCUUUGACGGAUGCCUCCUGAGGACCUGCGGGAUAUCCCAGGUGGUGGUUUGGGACAAACUCCAUUUGAAACCUGUACGCGAGGAGACGACAGUGAGCGGUGGGACGCAGCGCUCCACCAAUCCUUGUUGCUCUCUCUGAUUGCCUGCUGACAGGCCCAUUUUCAUGCUGCAUGAUGGCCACUGCUUUCUAAAGGCUUCAGCAGGGCCAGGCUGAGAGCAACCUGAUGUGGCGCUUCUCAAGGAAGUCGUAAUAGAAUUUCAUGUGGAAGGUCAGUCCAUCGAUGUGGAGCACUCCAAUGUCCUUGAAGACAACGGCAACGUUCUCCCCAUUCUUCAGGCAGCCAGAGAGCAGGGACACGGUGCUUUGGAUGCAAGCCUGCGCUGUCUGCCAGGUCACAGAGGCAGCUGCGGCCACCUCGCUGCUCUUGAGCGGCUCCAGCUUCCUAUGGGCUGAAAAAUGGGAGGGACGGAGUUGAUGAUACGGUUGGUUUUCCGCAGUGCUUCCCUGGAACUGCUUCUUGUGGCCAUCAGCCAGAACGGCCCCAUGUUUGGCUGGGCUCCUCCGAGGGGGAGGUUUGCUUUGGAGAAUGGAGGCGGUGGCCCUGUUGGCCCUGUGCGUGAAGCCAGCAAAGCUUUAAUCCUCCCUCCUACCUGGCAGGGACUCCCUGCGGGGCUUGAGGUGGUGCACGGCUAUGAGGUUUCCAGACAAGUGAAAGACGGGCCACCGCAGAGUCACGGUCCCGUCCUCAGUCCUGAUGUCUCUGGAGAUGGUGUCAAAGGAUCCGAAGCACAGCAGUCAGGGCAGAAGCAGCCUGAUGGGAUCCAGAGGCUUCCCGCGAGCGGGAUCAGCCCUGAGACAGGACAGCGCCCAGCACAAGUGAUCCUGCGGGAUUUGCAGGAAGCCCAUGGCAUGCCCAGUAGAGACACGUGGGGAGGUGCUCUUGUACGUAGGCGGCCACCGCAUCCCAGACGGCAACUCGCUCUGGAGGGCAAAGGAAAAGCAGGUCACACUCUGCACCUGCCGCUUCCCGGCAGCCCUCCCGCUGCCAGGCGGGAGUGAGGUGGCAGAUGGAA